rnacentral:rRNA from 1 species
GAUGAACGCUAGCGGCAGGCCUAACACAUGCAAGUCGAGGGGCAGCACGAAAUAGCUUGCUAUUUUGGUGGCGACCGGCGCACGGGUGCGUAACGCGUAUGCAACCUACCCUGUACUGAGGGAUAGCCCGGAGAAAUUCGGGAUUAAUACCUCAUAGUAUUAUUGAUUCGCAUGGAUUGAUAAUUAAAGGUUACGGUACGGGAUGGGCAUGCGUCCCAUUAGCUAGAUGGUAAGGUAACGGCUUACCAUGGCAACGAUGGGUAGGGGGCCUGAGAGGGUGAUCCCCACACUGGUACUGAGACACGGACCCAGACUCCUACGGGAGGCAGCAGUGAGAAUAUUGGUCAAUGGACGCAAGUCUGAACCAGCCAUGCCGCGUGCA